CCUACGGGUGGCAGCAGUGAGGAAUAUUGGUCAAUGGACGAGAGUCUGAACCAGCCAAGUAGCGUGAAGGAUGACUGCCCUAUGGGUUGUAAACUUCUUUUAUAUGGGAAUAAAAUGUUCCACGUGUGGGAUUUUGUAUGUACCAUAUGAAUAAGGAUCGGCUAACUCCGUGCCAGCAGCCGCGGUAAUACGGAGGAUCCGAGCGUUAUCCGGAUUUAUUGGGUUUAAAGGGAGCGUAGGUGGAUUGUUAAGUCAGUUGUGAAAGUUUGCGGCUCAACCAUAAAAUUGCAGUUGAAACUGGCAGUCUUGAGUACAGUAGAGGUCGGCGGAAUUCGUGGUGUAGCGGUGAAAUGCUUAGAUAUCACGAAGAACUCCGGUUGCGAAGGCAGUUCACUGGACUGCAACUGACACUGAGGCUCGAAAGUGUGGGUAUCAAACAGGAUUAGAUACCCUGGUAGUC
rnacentral:rRNA from 1 species